rfam:Sindbis virus structural polyprotein gene, complete cds.
GGCGCCUACCUUGCGAAGGUAGACGCC